rnacentral:rRNA from 1 species
AUUGAACGCUGGCGGCAGGCCUAACACAUGCAAGUCGAACGGUAACAGGAAGCAGCUUGCUGCUUCGCUGACGAGUGGCGGACGGGUGAGUAAUGUCUGGGAAACUGCCUGAUGGAGGGGGAUAACUACUGGAAACGGUAGCUAAUACCGCAUAACGUCGCAAGACCAAAGAGGGGGACCUUCGGGCCUCUUGCCAUCGGAUGUGCCCAGAGGGGAUUAGCUAGUAGGUGGGGUAACGGCUCACCUAGGCGACGAUCCCUAGCUGGUCUGAGAGGAUGACCAGCCACACUGGAACUGAGACACGGUCCAGACUCCUACGGGAGGCAGCAGUGGGGAAUAUUGCACAAUGGGCGCAAGCCUGAUGCAGCCAUGCCGCGUGUAUGAAGAAGGCCUUCGGGUUGUAAAGUACUUUCAGCGGGGAGGAAGGCGAAAGGUUAAUAACCUUGUAGAUUGACGUUACCCGCAGAAGAAGCACCGGCUAACUCCGUGCCAGCAGCCGCGGUAA